AGAGUUUGAUCAUGGCUCAGGAUGAACGCUGGCGGAAUGCUUAACACAUGCAAGUCGACUUGAAAGGUUCUUCGGAGCUGAGUAGGGUGGCGGACGGGUGAGUAACGCGUGAGUGAGCUAUCCUUAAGACAGGGACAACCAUUCGAAAGGGUGGCUAAUACCUGAUGUGGCUAUACGUAUGCAUGUAUGUAUAGUUAAAGGCUAUAAGCGCUUAAGGAGGUGCUCGCGUCCCAUUAGCUAGUUGGUGAGGUAACGGCUCACCAAGGCGACGAUGGGUAUCCGGCCUGAGAGGGUGGACGGACACAAGGGGACUGAGACACGGCCCUUACUCCUACGGGAGGCAGCAGUGGGGAAUAUUGGACAAUGGGCGGGAGCCUGAUCCAGCAAUUCCGUGUGGAUGAAGAAGGCCUUCGGGUUGUAAAGUCCUUUCAGCAGGGAAGAAGGAAGGUGACGGUACCUGCAGAAGAAGCCACGGCUAACUACGUGCCAGCAGCCGCGGUAAUACGUAGGUGGCGAGCGUUAUCCGGAAUCACUGGGCGUAAAGGGCGUCUAGGCGGUUUAGUAAGCUAGGGGUGAAAAGCUAUAGCUCAACUAUAGUCUUGCCUUUAGAACUGCUAGACUAGAGUACAGGAGGGGAGGGCGGAACUACCAGUGUAGAGGUGAAAUUCGUAGAUAUUGGUAGGAAUGCCGAUGGCGAAGGCAGCUCUCUGGACUGAUACUGACGCUGAAGCGCGAGAGCUAGGGGAGCGAACAGGAUUAGA
rnacentral:rRNA from 1 species